rnacentral:rRNA from 1 species
AACGAACGCUGGCGGCAUGCCUAACACAUGCAAGUCGAACGAGACCUUCGGGUCUAUUGGCGCACGUGUGCGUAACGCGUGGGAACCUGCCCUUAGGUUCGGAAUAACUCCCCGAAAGGGGUGCUAAUACCGGAUAAUGUCUUCGGACCAAAGAUUUAUCGCCUUUGGAUGGGCCCGCGUUGGAUUAGCUAGUUGGUAGGGUAAAAGCCUACCAAGGCGACGAUCCAUAGCUGGUCUGAGAGGAUGAUCAGCCACACUGGGACUGAGACACGGCCCAGACUCCUACGGGAGGCAGCAGUGGGGAAUAUUGGACAAGGGGCGAAAGCCUGAUCCAGCAAUGCCGCGUGAGUGAUGAAGGCCUUAGGGUUGUAAAGCUCUUUUACCCGGGAUGAUAAUGACAGUACCGGGAGAAUAAGCUCCGGCUAACUCCGUG